rnacentral:misc_RNA from 1 species
CAACCCUCAGGCCCUGCCUGGCGUUGGGGUCCUGCGCCUGCAGACCCCCAAAGACAGCGGCGGGUGCGUCCUCCAACCGAACGUAGUAGUUACAUCUCGUUCUGGCGCGGGGCGCGCUCCGGCCGUAAAACCCCCCAUCUUUUACAU